UAUUACUCCACUGUAUAUCAGGAUCAGAGAGAAGAGAAUUCUUCAAUUUGACAUGGGAGAAGAUGACAUUGUUGAUUAUGAAACCAAGUUUACUGAAUUAUCUCAUUUUGCUCUGGCAAUCAUAGCAGAUGAGAAGGAAAAAUGUUUGCUAUUUCCAGAUGGGUUGUGCCUUGAGAUCAAGGCAAAGACAAAGAUGCACAAUUAUGGUAGUUUUGCAGAGUUGAUUGUGGGAGCCACCAGGGUGGAAGAGAUUGAAAAAGAGUUCUAUAACCAUAGAUAGGAAAGGGGCAAGAGGAGUGAGCAGAGUUUCUCCAUGGGUACAGGAGAAAAUUAGCCGUCAAAGAAAGUCAAUACUUUUGGGCAACCCAAGCAAAGUUUCAGAGCAUCAGGGGAGUCAGGUGUGGAAUCUUUUGCUUUUACCAGCCCAGAAUAGAAGAGGACAAAAUAGAGAUUUGUGUCAUAAUUAGUGGAAAGUAGGGUGACA
rnacentral:lncRNA from 1 species